GGGAGAAUGAAGCAACAUGGCGCCUGCCCAUUGGCUCAGAGACACUCUGGCUGGCGGUCUUUCUCGUUCGCCAUCUUGAGUUGCUGUCUCCACCUGGCUGCGUUUUAAAGCUGCAGUCCCCAACUCCCGGGACGCACCUGUACCGUUAGCAGAUUUCCCCUAAAAAAUCUGGAUUUCUGCUUUUCCUGAAACAUUGGAAGGCAUACAGUUCUGGACCUUUCUUUCCAUGCUACACUGGUCAUGUUGAGACAGCAGAGCGACCUGUCUUCUCUACCCAAGGAACAUGUGCCCUUUCAGAAAGGUCUCCAAGGAACUUUGCUAAAUAAACAUGAAAACCAGCAAUCACUCAGAAUUGAAAAGCAGCAUAAAUGGUCCCAAAUGCCAGUGUUCUCAUCCACAGAGCUUUUCCCCAGUGCUGGAGUUGGCAUUCUUCAUCACUGUGCUUCAGCUGAAAUAACACCAGAACUUUUCAAAGGAGAGUGAGGAGGCUCCUGAGAACCUUCGAGAAGCUGCAUUCAUUGUACAGGCAAGCAUGAUGAAAAUGAAGUUUAUUGAGGAGAGAAAGAUAGGACUAUAGGACAAGUGCAAGAUAUAGGUUUACGGGGCAUGAUAUAUACACCAAAGAUGACGAUCGGACCCAUUGCUGCAACAAAGGGAGAGCAGAAGGAAGGGGCCAAAAAGGGCGUAAUUCCUUCUUAAAUGAGCAGAAGGCAUUCUGCGACACUGAGUACCCUCCGUAUGCUCCUAAAAGUGG